rnacentral:misc_RNA from 1 species
AACGCACGAGACCUGCGGACCUGCGGAAGGAUCAUUACCGAGUUAGGGUCUUUUGGCCCGACCUCCAACCCUUUGUUUAUUAUACCAUGUUGCUUUGGUGGGCCUGCCUUUCGGGGCUGCCGGGGGCAUCACUGCCCCUGACUCGUGCCUGCCAGGAGCCUUCUUAAAUUCAGUGUUCAACGGUGCUGUCUGAGUCCCAGUAUCAAAAUAUCAAAAACUUUCAGCAACGGAUCUCUAGAU